GCGCCGCUAGCUCAGUUGGAUAGAGUGCAUGGCUACGAACCAUGAGGUCAGGGGUUCGAAUCCCUUGCGGCGCACCA
rnacentral:tRNA from 1 species